rnacentral:lncRNA from 1 species
GUUAUUUCAGUGGUCAAACACAAGUCCAGCCCAAAGAUGCACAUCUCCUUCUUGACCAAAAUUCUAGUGGUCAAACACAAGUCCAUCCCAAAGAUACACACGUCCUUCUUGAUCAAAAUCUAAAAAAGGUGUUGACUCUUACUGCUCCUUAUUUUUGUACACCUGCUGGCUGCCCAUCGCAGAAAGAUGGUAGAUCCUCUGACAUGGAGGUUCUGGCUCCCCCCGAGGAGAGUGACUCUGUUUGUUGGUCUUUACCAGACAUUGCUGCUGCUGCAAGCACAACUGACAAGGAUAGAAUUACUCUUUCUGGCUAUUAUUCAAGCAGUCGAACAUCAGUCCAACUCAAAGUCCAAAAUCUUUUUCCUGAUCAAAUUCUUAAAAAAGAUAUUAUUAUAGCUCCAACUCCUAGUGGUCCCUCCAACUUCCCAUUACACAAACGUCGUAAAUCCUUUCGCAUGCAGCUUCUUGGUUUACCGAAGGAUGAGCCUGCUUAUUUUACUUUACCAGAGUUUACCUUUGGGAGCUUAGCUGCAGUGUCCUCUUCUCACCCAUCACCUGUGAUGUCAGCCUUUAGAAAGCCAGUUGUUUCUCGCUGUAACUAUCAAAAACUCAGUGCCCAGUUGACCAAUAAAGUGAGAAAGAGCAUACAGACUGAAGUUAACACAACGGUAUUGUCCAAUAAUGAGGAGUUCCCAGUAAUUUCACGAAGAAAGCCUGAGAGACAGAGUAUCAUAGAAAUGGCUUUGGAGGAGAAAAUGAGAAAAUCUAACUCAUUUGAACAGAUUUUAGAAGAAGGUGAUGAAGGAAAAGGAUCUUUUAUGGACAAUAUAAAGCUGUACCCUCAUGGACAGAGCAAAAAAGUCUCUUAUUCAGAACCUGAUCGUACCCUUGAUGAUGAUACUAUAAAGGGUAUCCAGGGAUUCGGGUACCAGAAUUUGUUAAGUGAGCAGGAUGAACAAGAACAACUGAUGGCCAGGGCCAGAAUGGCAGUUUUAUAUUGCAUAAUGCAUAGCAGAACUGAACUUAAUCUUAAGGCCUAUUUCCUGACUCUCCUUCCAGACCUUACACCUUUAGUCGACACUUUGGUGUAUCUUAACCUGUCAUUCAAUGACUUACACUUCUUUCCCAGGGAGGUAUGUACCAGUUAUUUACUUAUUGUUAUUAAGAGUAAAACUGUAAGACAGCCUGAAUUUUUA